UGCUGGUCCCUUACGAGUAUUAGACUCAACUACACAACCAUUUUCACUCUCUCUUCAAGCUAGGAUCAGAUAAAACAACAUGAUAAUGAACUAAACAUAUAUUUUACACAAUAUAAACAAUCUGAUCAGUAGCAAAUGUCACUCAAAAUCAUAUUAAUAGACUGAUAUAAUCAAACUUGAGGUUCCCCAAAACUUCCCCUACCUUAAACCUGGUUUAGUAAAGCUGAGGCUUUGUUUCCAGACCUCUCAAAGCUUGUUUUCUGGACUUUGCUGACUCUAGAGUCUCUAAAUUAUUUUCUGCUAUGUUUUCUAACUUGUGUUUCUUACUGCAGGUAAAGGCCUUUUUAUACUAGAAGAUGUAAUCAUGAGAACCUAUAUGUAGACUAGCCACCUCCUGUUUAGCUCAGUCAGUUAGAUAAACAUUGGGAGCAGCUUAUUGCCAGCUCCUGCUUAGAAAAAACAUCUGAAGGUUAUCCCAAACUGCCAGCUCCUGCUUUGAGCUUGUUGCCCAAGUUUUAAGCUGCUCUAAGAGCAGCCACUUGCUGCACACACUUAAUUUUAUGUCUGCAGGUUCUUAAUUGUGGUUAGAAGUGUGUACACAUGUGUUUCCAAUAAGCUACUAGGUUUUAAAAGCACUUCCAGCUAAAGAAAAAAAUCAAGAAGAAGGAGCAUAAUAAGCUAAGCAUUUGCUGGAAAUUUUGGUACAUUUGCAAGAAGUAAUGGCAGCAAAUCAAGGAAACUAUAAGUACAAAACAUAAAUAAGAAAUUGAUGUAAUGUGACAUUUGGAAACAUGUAUUAAUGUGAAUAUUGUAAAUAUAGUACUUGUAGCUAUCUAUGUAACAUUAUCAAGCACAAUCUGUACUAUUUUUCUUUUCUUUUCUUUUUCUUUUUGACAAAGAAUGUAAACAGGUAAAUGUUUGCUUUUGUUUGUAAGAAACACUUGUGUUCUACUCUAGCAUUUUGUUAACAAAA